rnacentral:rRNA from 2 species
CAGCCGCCGCGGUAAAACCAGCACCUCAAGUGGUCGGGAUGAUUAUUGGGCCUAAAGCAUCCGUAGCCGGCUCUGUAAGUUUUCGGUUAAAUCUGUACGCUCAACGUACAGGCUGCCGGGAAUACUGCAAAGCUAGGGAGUGGGAGAAGUAGACGGUACUCGGUAGGAAGUGGUAAAAUGCUUUGAUCUAUCGAUGACCACCUGUGGCGAAGGCGGUCUACUAGAACACGUCCGACGGUGAGGGAUGAAAGCUGGGGGAGCAAACCGGAUUAGAUACCCGGGUAGUCCCAGCUGUAAACUAUGCAAACUCAGUGAUGCAUUGGCUUGUGGCCAAUGCAGUGCUGCAGGGAAGCCGUUAAGUUUGCCGCCUGGGAAGUACGUACGCAAGUAUGAAACUUAAAGGAAUUGGCGGGGGAGCAC